UGCCAGCCGCCGCGGUAAUACGGAGGGGGCUAGCGUUGUUCGGAAUCACUGGGCGUAAAGCGCGCGUAGGCGGGCUGGUCAGUUGAGGGUGAAAUCCCGGGGCUUAACCUCGGAACUGCCUUCAAUACUUCCAGUCUUGAGUUCGAGAGAGGUGAGUGGAAUUCCUAGCGUAGAGGUGAAAUUCGUAGAUAUUAGGAAGAACACCAGUGGCGAAGGCGGCUCACUGGCUCGAUACUGACGCUGAGGUGCGAAAGCGUGGGGAGCGAACAGGAUUAGAUA
rnacentral:rRNA from 1 species